UAAGGAAUAUUGGUCAAUGGAGGCAACUCUGAACCAGCCAUGCCGCGUGAAGGAUUAAGGCCCUCUGGGUUGUAAACUUCUUUUAUAUGGGAAGAAAUGUACUUUUUCUAAAGUGCUUGACGGUACCAUAGGAAUAAGCACCGGCUAACUCCGUGCCAGCAGCCGCGGUAAUACGGAGGGUGCAAGCGUUACCCGGAUUUACUGGGUUUAAAGGGUGCGUAGGCGGAUGAAUAAGUCAGUGGUGAAAUCUCCGAGCUUAACUCGGAAACUGCCGUUGAUACUAUUUGUCUUGAAUAUUGUGGAGGUAAGCGGAAUAUGUCAUGUAGCGGUGAAAUGCUUAGAUAUGACAUAGAACACCAAUUGCGAAGGCAGCUUGCUACACAAUCAUUGACGCUGAGGCACGAAAGCGUGGGGAUCAAACA
rnacentral:rRNA from 1 species